rnacentral:rRNA from 1 species
GUCCUUAGUUACCAGCACGUUAUGGUGGGCGACUCUAAGGAGACUGCCGGGUGACAAACCGGAGGAAGGUGGGGAUGACGUCAAGUCAUCAUGGCCCUUACGGCCUGGGCUACACACGUGCUACAAUGGUCGGUACAAAGGGUUGCCAAGCCGCGAGGUGGAGCUAAUCCCAUAAAACCGAUCGUAGUCCGGAUCGCAGUCUGCAACUCGACUGCGUGAAGUCGGAAUCGCUAGUAAUCGUGAAUCAGAAUGUCACGGUGAAUACGUUCCCGGGCCUU